UUUUUCAGACGCAGCUCAACCUGCUCCUGGAGAAACUACGCAGCACGGGUUCUAGUUUCAUUCGCUGCAUCAAACCAAACCUGAAGAUGAUCAGUCACCAGUUUGAAGGAGCCCAGAUCCUCUCACAACUACAGUGCUCCGGGAUGGUCUCGGUCUUGGACUUGAUGCAGGGCGGGUUUCCGUCCAGAGCUCCGUUCCACGAACUUUACAACAUGUACCAGAAAUACAUGCCCCCGAAACUGUGUCGCCUCGACCCGAGACUCUUCUGCAAGG